rnacentral:rRNA from 1 species
AACGAACGCUGGCGGCAUGCCUAACACAUGCAAGUCGAACGAGACCUUCGGGUCUAGUGGCGCACGGGUGCGUAACGCGGGGGAACCUGCCCUUAGGUUCGGAAUAACUCCCCGAAAGGGGUGCUAAUACCGGAUAAUGUCUUCGGACCAAAGAUUUAUCGCCUUUGGAUGGGCCCGCGUUGGAUUAGCUAGUUGGGAGGGUAAAAGCCUACCAAGGCGACGAUCCAUAGCUGGUCUGAGAGGAUGAUCAGCCACACUGGGACUGAGACACGGCCCAGACUCCUACGGGAGGCAGCAGUGGGGAAUAUUGGACACUGGGCGAAAGCCUGAUCCAGCAAUGCCGCGUGAGUGAUGAAGGCCUUAGGGUUGUAAAGCUCUUUUACCCGGGAUGAUAAUGACAGUACCGGGAGAAUAAGCUCCGGCUAACUCCGUG